rnacentral:rRNA from 1 species
AGCUCGUAGGCGGUCUGUUGCGUCUGCUGUGAAAUCCCGGGGCUCAACCCCGGGCCUGCAGUGGAUACUGGCAUGCUAGAAGUCGGUAGGGGAGAAUGGAAUUCCCGGUGUAGCGGUGAAAUGCGCAGAUAUCGGGAGGAACACCGGUGGCGAAGGCGGUUCUCUGGGCCUGACCUGACGCUGAGGAGCGAAAGCGUGGGGAGCGAACAGGAUUAGAUACCCUGGUAGUCCACGCCGUAAACGUUGGGCGCUAGGUGUGGGUCCCUUCCACGGGUUCCGUGCCGCAGCUAACGCAUUAAGCGCCCCGCCUGGGGAGUACGGCCGCAAGGCUAAAAC